GUUGGGUUGGGUGGAACGUCGUCUGUACGACGGCUGCUGCCGCCGAUGCGCCGACAGGCUCGCCCGCUCGGGCCUGGGGGCAAUAGUGCAGAAAGGAAAGGCUAGCUAUCUCCCGACGAUGAUCCCUGGCCCUUGCCUGAAUGUACUGCUUGAUCCACCGGAUCGGUAGGCCGUUCUGAAGCGCGUUUGUACGACGAUCCAGAUCCUCUGUUUAUGGGUGACAAUGAUGUGUGAACCACUGUGUCGUGGGAUCGCUUCGUCUGUGGAUCCAAACCCUAGAAUGGAGUGUGGAGCGGUUGAUACAAUAAAGAAUCUUGUCUUAAAUCAUUCCAAUGUCAGUAAAACUAUAUGUAGG
rnacentral:lncRNA from 1 species